AGAUUGAACGCUGGCGGCAUGCCUUACACAUGCAAGUCGAACGGCAGCGCGGGGCAACCUGGCGGCGAGUGGCGAACGGGUGAGUAAUAUAUCGGAACGUACCCCGGAGUGGGGGAUAACGUAGCGAAAGUUACGCUAAUACCGCAUACGAUCUAAGGAUGAAAGUGGGGGAUCGCAAGACCUCAUGCUCCUGGAGCGGCCGAUAUCUGAUUAGCUAGUUGGUGGGGUAAAGGCCUACCAAGGCAUCGAUCAGUAGCUGGUCUGAGAGGACGACCAGCCACACUGGAACUGAGACACGGUCCAGACUCCUACGGGAGGCAGCAGUGGGGAAUUUUGGACAAUGGGCGAAAGCCUGAUCCAGCAAUGCGGCGUGAGUGAAGAAGGCCUUCGGGUUGUAAAGCUCUUUUGUCAGGGAAGAAACGGUGAGAGCUAAUAUCUCUUGCUAAUGACGGUACCUGAAGAAUAAGCACCGGCUAACUACAUGCCAGCAGCCGCGGUAAUACGUAGGGUGCAAGCGUUAAUCGGAAUUACUGGGCGUAAAGCGUGCGCAGGCGGUUUUGUAAGUCUGUCGUGAAAUCCCCGGGCUCAACCUGGGAAUUGCGAUGGAGACUGCAAGGCUAGAAUCUGGCAGAGGGGGGUAGAAUUCCACGUGUAGCAGUGAAAUGCGUAGAGAUGUGGAGGAACCCCGAUGGCGAAGGCAGCCCCCUGGGUCAAGAUUGACGCUUCAUGCAACGAAAGCGUGGGGAGCAAACA
rnacentral:rRNA from 1 species